rnacentral:rRNA from 1 species
UACAGAGGUCUCAAGCGUUGUUCGGAUUUAUUGGGCGUAAAGGGUGCGUAGGCGGCAGGGUAAGUUAGGCGUGAAAUGCUAAAGCUCAACUUUGGCACUGCGCUUGAUACUGCCUUGCUCGAGUGCUAGAGAAGAAGCUGGAAUUUACGGUGUAGCAGUGAAAUGCGUAGAGAUGCGGAGGAACACCGAUGGCGAAGGCAGCCCCCUGGGCCAAUACUGACGCUCAGGCACGAAAGCGUGGGGAGCAAACAGG